rnacentral:rRNA from 1 species
GAGUUUGAUCCUGGCUCAGGAUGAACGCUAGCGGCAGGCUUAAUACAUGCAAGUCGAGGGGCAGCACGGUAGCAAUACUGGUGGCGACCGGCGCACGGGUGCGUAACACGUAUACAACCUACCUUAAACAGGGGGAUAGCCUUUCGAAAGAGAGAUUAAUACCCCGUAAUAAAUUGAAUGGCAUCAUUUGAUUUUGAAAGUUCCGACGGUUUGAGAUGGGUAUGCGUAUGAUUAGCUAGUUGGUGGUGUAACGGACCGCCAAGGCGACGAUCAUUAGGGGAUCUGAGAGGACUAACCCCCACACUGGUACUGAGACACGGACCAGACUCCUACGGGAGCAGCAGUAAGGAAUAUUGGUCAAUGGAGGCAACUCUGAACCAGCCAUGCCGCGUGCAGGAUGACGGCCCUAUGGGUUGUAAACUGCUUUUUAUACAAGAGAAAACCCCGGUACGAGUACCGGGUUGAUAGUAUUGUAAGAAUAAGCAUCGGCUAACUUCG